rnacentral:rRNA from 1 species
UACGGAGGGUGCAAGCGUUAAUCGGAAUUGACUGGACGUAAAGCGUGCGUAGGCGAUUCGUUAAGUCUGUUGUGAAAGCCCCGGGCUCAACCUGGGAAUGGCAAUGGAUACUGGCGAGCUAGAGUGUGUCAGAGGAUGGUGGAAUUCCCGGUGUAGCGGUGAAGUGCGUAGAGAUCGGGAGGAACAUCAGUGGCGAAGGCGGCCAUCUGGGACAACACUGACGCUGAGGCACGAAAGCGUGGGGGAGCAAACAGG